rnacentral:lncRNA from 1 species
AUCAAAUGAUAGAAUAAUGUGUCUCUAUAUAUUCCCAUAAUAUAUAUAUCAAUAAAUACAAAAUGAAUGGUUGAAUUAAAUGGGAAAUUAAAUACAAUAAAACAAAUGAUAAAAAAUUCAUAGAACCCCCGCUGUUCUCAUGGCCUUAUAGUAUGAGAUUCCCUGUUUACACAAGCAAUGUGGCAGCGAAAACCCCAACGGCCACCGAUCCGAUUGAGAACCUAUUCAAAACGGCGCCGUUGGGAGCAGGAGCUUCCGAGGGAGAUCCCGAAACCGAAGUAGAGGGAGAGGUGGCCGAAGAUUUAGGGGAAGACGAUGAUGGGGGAGAAGGUGGAGAGUCUGCAACGGGAGCUGUUGAAGGAGCAGCUGAGGGUGGAGUGCCCAAAGGAGAAGGAGAGGCAGCAGGUGGAGUGCUCAAGGGAGAAGGGGCAGAGGCAGGGGACUUGGCUGGUGAAGAUGCAGGGGAUUGUGCCCUUGUUGAGGCCACCAAAAGGGCAGCCAUAAGCACCAAAACGACAGCGCUUGAUCGAGCCAUUAGAGAGAGAGAGAGAGUUAAAAGAGAAAAUGAAGACAGAGAAAAUUGUGGGAGGUUUUAAGAGGCAGAAUGAGAAGCGAAGGAUGGGUUUAAGGAGAGACCGGAAAGGGCCUUUUAUAGGUGGAGGCUGAUGAGAG